rfam:Starkeya novella DSM 506, complete genome.
UGUCGACCCUCCAAAGGUCGGGAAACUGAAGAGGCACUACUUCUUGCCGGGCGUGCGGUUCGGGUUCUCCCAAACCAAGCGAAGGCAUCGAUCGGACGCUGGCGCUCUCCACAUGCGCUGAGCGAUCGCAUCGCUGCCACGGCUCACCAUUAUC